CCCUUAGAUGUCCUGGGCCGCACGCGCGUUACACUGAUGCAUUCAACGAGCUUAUAACCUUGGCCGAGAGGCCUGGGCAAUCUUGUUAACGUGCAUCGUGAUAGGGAUAGAUUAUUGAAAUUAUUAAUCUUGAACGAGGAAUUCCUAGUAAACGCAGAUCAUCAUUCUGCAUUGAUUACGUCCCUGCCCUUUGUACACACCGCCCGUCGCACCUACCGAUUGGAUGGUCCGGUGAAGCCUCGGGAUUGUGGUUCUUGCCGCUUUAUUGUGGCGUGACCGCGAGAACUUGUCUAAACCUUAUCAUCUAGAGGAAGGUGAAGUCGUAACA
rnacentral:rRNA from 1 species